rnacentral:rRNA from 1 species
AUACGUAGGGUGCAAGCGUUGUCCGGAAUUAUUGGGCGUAAAGAGCUCGUAGGCGGCUUGUCGCGUCUGCUGUGAAAUCCCGAGGCUCAACCUCGGGCUUGCAGUGGGUACGGGCAGGCUAGAGUGCGGUAGGGGAGAUUGGAAUUCCUGGUGUAGCGGUGGAAUGCGCAGAUAUCAGGAGGAACACCGAUGGCGAAGGCAGAUCUCUGGGCCGCUACUGACGCUGAGGGGCGAAAGCAUGGGGGGCGAACAGGAUUGGAUCCCCUGGUAGUCCAUGCCGUAAACGUUGGGAACUAGAUGUAGGGCCUGUUCCACGGGUUCUGUGUCGUAGCUAACGCAUUAAGUUCCCCGCCUGGGGAGUACGGCCGCAAGGCUAAAACUCAAAUGAAUUGACGGGG